GCAGUGGGGAAUCUUGGACAAUGGGGGCAAGCCUGAUCCAGCCAUGCCGCGUGAGUGAUGAAGGCCUUAGGGUCGUAAAGCUCUUUCGCCUGUGAAGAUAAUGACGGUAGCAGGUAAAGAAACCCCGGCUAACUCCGUGCCAGCAGCCGCGGUAAUACGGAGGGGGUUAGCGUUGUUCGGAAUUACUGGGCGUAAAGCGCACGUAGGCGGACUGGAAAGUUGGGGGUGAAAUCCCAGGGCUCAACCCUGGAACUGCCUCCAAAACUAUCAGUCUAGAGUUCGAGAGAGGUGAGUGGAAUUCCGAGUGUAGAGGUGAAAUUCGUAGAUAUUCGGAGGAACACCAGUGGCGAAGGCGGCUCACUGGCUCGAUACUGACGCUGAGGUGCGAAAGUGUGGGGAGCAAACAGGAUUAGAUACCCUGGUAGUCCACACCGUAAACGAUGAAUGCCAGUCGUCGG
rnacentral:rRNA from 1 species